GGAUUGUGGCUCAGCGGUAGGGCACUCGCCUAGCAUGCGCGGAGACCUGGGUUCGAUCCUCAACACCCCA
rnacentral:tRNA from 1 species